UACAGAGGGUGCAAGCGUUGUUCGGAAUUAUUGGGCGUAAAGCGCGUGUAGGCGGCUUGGCAAGUCUGCUGUGAAAACUCGAGGCUCAACCUCGAGAUGUCGGUGGAAACUGCCUGGCUAGAGUCCGGAAGAGGAGUGUGGAAUUCCUGGUGUAGCGGUGAAAUGCGCAGAUAUCAGGAAGAACACCUAUGGCGAAGGCAGCACUCUGGGACGGUACUGACGCUGAGACGCGAAAAGCGUGGGGAGCGAACAGG
rnacentral:rRNA from 1 species